GGGCCCGUAGCUCAGUGGUUAGAGCAGUCGGCUCAUAACCGAUUGGUCGCUGGUUCAAGUCCAGCCGGGCCCACCA
rnacentral:tRNA from 1 species